UACGUAGGGUGCGAGCGUUAAUCGGAAUUACUGGGCGUAAAGCGAGCGCAGACGGUUACUUAAGCAGGAUGUGAAAUCCCCGGGCUCAACCUGGGAACUGCGUUCUGAACUGGGUGACUAGAGUGUGUCAGAGGGAGGUAGAAUUCCACGUGUAGCAGUGAAAUGCGUAGAGAUGUGGAGGAAUACCGAUGGCGAAGGCAGCCUCCUGGGAUAACACUGACGUUCAUGCUCGAAAGCGUGG
rnacentral:rRNA from 1 species